rnacentral:lncRNA from 1 species
GAGACAUUCGCUGACUUUGAAGAUCUCUAUUGACAUCUCAGUUUUGUCUGGUGCUGUCUCUAGAUGUUGUGCCUCCUGGUGAGAGAAUGCAGGAGUUACUCAGCAAAUAUUAGGCUAACUCUAGGCAGAUGCCUCCUUGUUCCAGGCUGACAAGCCCGGGCUUGUGCUUAUUUCACUGUCUAACCCUGCCCAGGCCCCGGGGAGAAGCCUGGUAUUCUUCGUGUUUAUUUAAUUGUCAACUCUCUGUGUUCUAAGACGAUACCCUGGCCUUGACUCAGUACAACCUAGGACUGUAAGUCCCAUCAUGUCUAUGGACUUCAGUUUCCAGACAUGAAACACAAGAGGCUUGGACGAGAUUAGAAAUCAAGAACUCGAAUGCGUAUGGUCAGAGCCACGAGAGUUUCCAUAAAGGAACACAACCAUGUGGACAACUUGAUUAUGCCCUACAAAACUGAAUUCCUGUGAGCAUUCCUCUUCAAGAUGGAAGAAAAAGGGAAUAUUUCACAACCCCAAUGGUGAAACGUCUGCCUAUAGCCAACAAUACAAUCUCCAUCCAUGUAUGAUGUGACUUGCUCCUACAUGCCUUCCACCAUGAUUAUGAGGCCUCCUGAGCCAUGUGGAACUGUAAGUCUGUUAAACCUCUUUUUCUUCCCAGUCUUGGGUAUGUCUUUAUCAGCAGUGUGAAAAUGGACUAAUACAAGAUAUAUUAAAGAAUACUCAACAUCACUAAUCAUCA